GCCAGCCAGCCACUGCCAAAGGCCGGAGAGAGGCAGGGAACCGCUUCUUGCUUAUAGACUCCGGAGGAAUAUGGCCCUGCUGCCACCUUGAUUUUGGAAUUCCAGUCUCCAGAACUGUGAGGCAAUAAACUUUUGUUUUAAGCCACCCAGUUACAGCAGCCCUAGAGUCUGUGUUUCUUGGCUACGGGACAGGAUGUGGAAACUGGAGUCAGGGGACCCAGGUUUCAGUUGUGGCUCUGCUGCUAACAGGCAGCAUGAUUUUGGGACUGGAAGCAUUACCCAGAAGAAUGCCAGAUGGCCACACCUUAAAAGCCAUUCCAAAGAGCAUGAAGAUUUCUAUGUCACAGGAGGAGCAAAAACAAUGCAAUUAAAAGGACUGGUUCAAGGGGAAACAGGAACAAUAUAAAGAAAUGAGAAGGGAUCUGUGUGGAAAACAUUCUACCAUUCAAGGGAAAUCCACAUUGGCACAGGCCAAAUACUUGUGGAUGAGAUCUUGCAUCAUGUUUAGUAUACCUGGAUGGGUUAGCAAUGCCAGGGGUGCAACUCCUUCCACUCCAUCUCCUGAUUCUGUAAAAUUCGAAUUUGUUGCUGGGGA